rnacentral:lncRNA from 1 species
UGCAAAUCUUCAUUUUGCUACAUUAAAGUAGUAAAGCUCAUUGAGGAGGAGCAGUACCUCCAUCUCCUGUUCAUCUGGAAGGCUGAGGAGCUCUGUGAUGAUAUCAAUUUUCCCUUUGCGGGAAGAGACGCCAUACUUAUUUUUCAUCAAGAGGAAUGGUUACCAGGCCACAGGAGUGAGGUGCUGGCCGCAAGACCUGGGAGGUAUGAGCAGAUCCGAGGCCGGGGCUCUGUUCGAAGAGCUUUGCUUGUUUCUUGUUUUCCAGACCGCAUGGCCUGUCAUUCCGAAGAGCAUUUGUGGACGUGCUCUGUUUUAAUGCCUCACCGUCUGUAAAGAAUGAGCUCAGUUCCCAGUGAAAUUUUCCAGGUUCAUAUUUCGGAAGUGUCAGGGGGUAGGAAGGAUCCUCCUGUCUUCCGUGUGUCAUCUGCCUUUAAGGGUGUAAUUUGUUUCUGAUGUAUGCAGGGAGCUCCCAGGAGAAGCGUCCCUGUGUUGCUGACCAGGCCUUCUGCACACAGGAAUCGGUAGACGUCCUCAGGAAGCGGACUUCUGGUGGGUGGCAGGAGGAGGAUAGUGUGAGAAAGGUUGUGGCAGGAGGAGAGGUGAGAAUGGUUAUUUUGGAAUUAUUAGGUAGCAAUCAGCGGUUUUGACAUUUGUCAGGAAAAUGCUUCUAUAGUACUUCCGGUGUGCCAGUCCUCUUCCGAGUGCAUUUUGAUAUAUUAACCUUUUAACUCUCAAGAAUAUUGUUAUGCACAUGUAAUAUCUGAGAACAGUGAACUCAAGUGAUUUGUCCAUGAUCUCUGGCUCAGAGUUGGUGCCCUUGCUAUUAUAGCUUCUCAAGGUUGUGGGGAAUCAAGGUCUUAAGGGCAGAGAGAAUUUCUGUCUCCAUGGGAAGGUCAGAGGAAUUUACUCCAAAGGGUUUCACCAAAUAGACUGUCCCGACCAGGUGCUACCAAGCUGAUUAUUUCAGGCUGGAUGCUUCUGCGGUGUAAUCUGCACAUCGCUCCUGAGGUGUCAGACUUUCUUUUUCCUCUCCUCAAAUCAAAAGGCUGUUAUUGUUUUGCCUGUGUCAUGGUUUCAUUCUGAUUGUUUCUAAUGUACAACUCCUCAUGCCCUGAAGCUGUUCUCCGAGGGUAAGCAGAGUCGGGUCCCAUUCCUGACACUGGCAGUGACAGAGCACACACACCGCAUCCUGUGGCGGGUGUUGCAGCCAUUAAUUCCCCAGGCAGAGUAGCCACACAACACUCAAGACAGGUUUGACACUUGCUGAUGCUAAUGAAUUUGCCAAGCAUCUAAAUCCAGGAAAAGUGCACACUUAAAAUGCUCUGGAGUCGAUUGUAACUUUUAUGAAAGAUAAUAACCGUCUGAUAUUAGAAUCAGAAGAGGUAUAUUUCUUCCUAAAUCAUUUCAUUAGAAAAAUCUUCAUAUUAAAAACAAAAAGAUUCUGAAACAGCUAAGGCCAAGUAAGAAUUGAAGGAAGAGGGGCUGGGAAUUUAGCUCAGUAGCUCCGCCACCUGCCUCGCAAGCACAAG